ensembl:lncRNA
UGCAUUUCUGUCGUAGUUCAUCUGCCUGUUGGCCAUCCGUAGGUCUUCUUUGAAGAAAUGCCAUGCCUUUCUCCAGUUGCUGUGAGUGCAGGCCGCCCUCCGAUUGUGGAGCACGGCCUCUCGUCGCAACGGCUUCCCUUGCUGUGGAGCGGGGGCUCCAGGGUGUGCGGCUUCAGAAGUAGUGGCACUCGGGCUGUUUCCCCGCGGCGCGUGGGAUCUUCGUGGGCCAGGGAUUGAACCGGUGUCCCCUGCGUUGCAAGGUGAUCCUUCACCGCUGGAGUGCCAGUGGUUGAGAAUGCAUACAGGGAGGCUGUAUGUACUAGUAAACUCCUCGAGGACACUGGAUCCGUGAUUACAGGUGGGGGACCAAAGAAGUCCACCUGAAAGAAUCAUGGACUGACCCUUACAACUGUGGACUGAGCCGAAGUUCUUUGUGAAAGGGCUACUUUGAAGAUUAUGACUCAAACACUGGGGAAGCUAAGGUGAUUGGCAGUAGAAUGAGUCAGAACAUGUAUAAUUUCUUAAAAACUUAUUGACUUAAAUAAUUUUGCCUAUAAUAAAG